rnacentral:rRNA from 1 species
UGCAAGUCGAACGAGAAACCUGGCUUCGGCCAGGCGGAAAGUGGCGGACGGGUGAGUAACACGUGGGAAUUUGCCCUGGGGUACGGAACAACUCAUGGAAACGUGAGCUAAUACCGUAUACGCUCUUAUUUCUUGGCGAAGUAAGAGGAAAGAUUUAUCGCCCCUGGAUGAGCCCGCGUAGGAUUAGCUAGUUGGUGAGGUAAUGGCUCACCAAGGCUACAAUCCUUAGCUGGUUUGAGAGGAUGAUCGGCCACACUGGGACUGAGACACGGCCCAGACUCCUACGGGAGGCAGCAGUGGGGAAUAUUGGACAAUGGGGGCAACCCUGAUCCAGCAAUGCCGCGUGAGUGAAGAAGGCCUUAGGGUUGUAAAACUCUUUCAGUGGGGAAGAUAAUGACGGUACCCACAGAAGAAGCUCCGGCUAACUCCGUGCCAGCAGCCGCGGUAAUACGGAGGGAGCUAGCGUUGUUCGGAAUUACUGGGCGUAAAGCGUACGUAGGCGGAUUGGCAAGUUGGCGGUGAAAGCCCGGGGCUUAACCCCGGAACUGCCCCCAAAACUACUGAUCUAGAGACCGGGAGAGGUGAGCGGAAUUCCUAGUGUAGAGGUGAAAUUCGUAGAUAUUAGGAAGAACACCAGUGGCGAAGGCGGCUUACUGGACCGGAACUGA